UACGUAGGGAGCAAGCGUUGUCCGGAAUCAUUGGGCGUAAAGCGCGCGUAGGUGGCUUCGUAAGUCCGUUGUGAAAGUCAAAGGCUCAACCUUUGAAAGCCGAUGGAUACUGCGGAGCUAGAGUACGGAAGAGGCGAGUGGAAUUCCUGGUGUAGCGGUGGAAUGCGCAGAUAUCAGGAGGAACGCCAAUAGCGAAGGCAGCUCGCUGGGACGUUACUGACACUGAGGCGCGAAAGCGUGGGGAGCAAACAGG
rnacentral:rRNA from 1 species